AAUGAACGUUGGCGGCGUGGAUUAGGCAUGCAAGUCGAGCGGUAGAGAACUGCUCACUUCGGGCUGUUUGGCUAGUAGCUAAAAGCUAAUAGCUGACAGCUUUGGAGUGAGCAGUUCUUGAGAGCGGCGAAAGGGAGAGUAACGCGUAGUUACGUACCCCGAGGACCGGAAUAGCCACGGGAAACUGUGGGUAAUGCCGGAUAAUAUCUUCGGAUCAAAGGUGUGAUUCCGCCAUGGGAGCGGACUGCGUUGUACUAGCUUGUUGGUGGGGUAAUGGCCUACCAAGGCGAUGAUGCAUAGCGGGUGUGAGAGCAUGACCCGUCUCACUGGGACUGAGACACUGCCCAGACACCUACGGGUGGCUGCAGUCGAGAAUCUUCGGCAAUGGGCGAAAGCCUGACCGAGCGACGCCGCGUGCGGGAUGAAGGCCCUCGGGUUGUAAACCGCGAAAGUAGGGAGGAAGGCUUCGUGAAGAACGAGGUUUGACCGAUCUACAGUAAGGACGGGCUAAGUACGUGCCAGCAGCCGCCGUAACAC
rnacentral:rRNA from 1 species